rnacentral:sRNA from 12 species
UGAUUUCCACGUAGAGCGCGUGGAAGGUAAACAAAAAAAUGCUCACCGAGU